AUUGCUGUGUGAUGAAAAGCAUGGUUAUGCUCCUGCCAGAGCAUUCUGACCUUUGUGAGGACACAAUCCAUGCUGCCUUCCUUCUGAUAACAAU